rnacentral:misc_RNA from 1 species
AUGCGAUAAGUAGUGUGAAUUGCAGAAUUCAGUGAAUCAUCGAAUCUUUGAACGCACAUUGCGCCCUUUGGUAUUCCAAAGGGCAUGCCUGUUCGAGCGUCAUUUGUACCCUCAAGCUUUGCUUGGUGUUGGGCGUCUUUUGUCUCUCCCCCGAGACUCGCCUUAAAAACAUUGGCAGCCGGCCUACUGGUUUCGGAGCGCAGCACAUUAUUUGCGCUCUUGUCCAGCCGCGGUCGCGCGUCCAUGAAGCCUUUUUUUUUCAACCUUUUGACCUCGGAUCAGGUAGGGAUACCCGCUGAACUUAA